GACGAACGCUGGCGGCGUGCCUAAUACAUGCAAGUAGAACGCUGAAGGAGGAGCUUGCUUCUCCGGAUGAGUUGCGAACGGGUGAGUAACGCGUAGGUAACCUGCCUGGUAGCGGGGGAUAACUAUUGGAAACGAUAGCUAAUACCGCAUAACAGUAGAUAUUGCAUGAUAUCUGCUUGAAAGGUGCAAUUGCAUCACUACCAGAUGGACCUGCGUUGUAUUAGCUAGUUGGUGAGGUAACGGCUCACCAAGGCGACGAUACAUAGCCGACCUGAGAGGGUGAUCGGCCACACUGGGACUGAGACACGGCCCAGACUCCUACGGGAGGCAGCAGUAGGGAAUCUUCGGCAAUGGACGGAAGUCUGACCGAGCAACGCCGCGUGAGUGAAGAAGGGUUUCGGAUCGGAAAGCUCUGUUGUAAGAGAAGAACGAGUGUGAGAGUGGAAAGUUCACACUGUGACGGUAUCUUACCAGAAAGGGACGGCUAACUACGUG
rnacentral:rRNA from 1 species